GAGGGGGGCGGCGGCGGCGGCGGAGGAGGGGGCGGAGCGGGGGCGAGGUCGCCGCCAACAACGGCGUCGUUUUCCGCCCUGGAUCUGGAUACUAGGGUUUCGGAUUCGCCGCCCCACGAUCUCCUCGGCGGGGUCGGGGAACUCGUGCCCGUUAGGGUUAGGGUUAGGGUUUGCUUCGACUACGGCGACGUCGCUGAUGACAAUAUAGAUCAAGCAGAGAGGGAUGCUGCUAGAAAUGGACCAGAGGAAGGUGCUGCAUCUGCCGGAGUCAUCGGAAGCCCUAAAAGCGAAGGUCGCGGAGGCCAUUGAGAUCCUUUGGAAUGUCACCAACCAACAGCAGCAAACCGCCUGCUGAUCAUGUCGCUGACAUCAAUUAGUUACUAAAGACCCAUCUGCUUAUUUUAAUUCUGCGAUCGUGUAACCGGCCAAACUUGAUUAUUUGCUUGAAACUGGUGGAUAAAUUCAAUGGGUUCAGUUAUGUGUUUGGGAGCCUUUUUUUAACCUCCAUAAGAGGGAAAAAA